rnacentral:tmRNA from 1 species
CCCCUUUCCUUUUGGCGCGCAGGCCCUAUAUGCGGUCCUGCCGGUUUCGACCGGCUAUGGUGAUAAAGUGUGGCGUGCAAUAGAUGCAGCGGACCCGGGGGCGGUACCCGGCGGCUCCACCACCUGUUUCGUUUGCGAGAGCGGGGCAGAUGACGGGGCCGAACUAGGAUCGACGUGUAUUGAAAAGCGCUGCUUUUGCCCGGGCUGAGUAACCCGUUCAAGGCUCAAAACCCACAAGUGCCAACGAUAACGAAGCACUCGCUCUCGCCGCGUAAUCUGACGGCCUAACGGCCAGAUUUUACAAGGCGCAAGCGCGGUUGGACCCACCGGGCAACAGAAGGGAUACCAGGGGUUGGGGGCGUACCCGGCAACAGAAACGCCCCACC